rnacentral:rRNA from 1 species
GUAUUAAAGGUCCUGCCUGCCCAGUGAAAUUUAUUUUUAACGGCCGCGGUAUUCUAACCGUGCAAAGGUAGCGUAAUCACUUGUCUUCUAAAUAAAGACCGGUAUGAAUGGCUAAAUGAGGAUAAACCUGUCUCCUGCACCCAAUCAGUGAAACUGAUCUCUCAGUCCAAAAGCUGGGAUAACAACACAAGACGAGAAGACCCUGUGGAGCUUAAAACACACUACUAUAAAACUAAAUAAGUAAUUAGUACCCAUUUUAAGUUGGGGCGACUUCGGAACAAAGUAAAACUUCCGAGCACAGAACCACCACUUCUUACCAAGGCUAACAAGCCGACAUAAAUGACCCAGUCAUACUGAUCAACGAACCAAGUUACCCCAGGGAUAACAGCGCUAUCUUCUUCAAGAGUCCAUAUCGACAAGAAGGUUUACGACCUCGAUGUUGGAUCAGGACACCCAAAUGGUGCAGCCGCUAUUAAAGGUUCGUUUGUUCAACGAUUAAUAGUCCUACGUGAUCUGAGUUCAGACCGGAGCAAUCCAGGUCGGU